CACGUAGGGGGCGAGCGUUGUCCGGAUUUAUUGGGCGUAAAGAGCUCGUAGGUGGUUCGGUAAGUCGGAUGUGAAAUCUCCAGGCUCAACCUGGAGGGGUCAUUCGAUACUGCCGUGACUAGAGGUCGGUAGGGGAGUGUGGAAUUCCUGGUGGAGCGGUGAAAUGCGCAGAGUAUCAGGAAGAACACCCGUGGCUAAGGCGGCUCUCUAGUACGGUACUGACGCUGAGACGCGAAAGCGUGGGGAGCGAACAGG
rnacentral:rRNA from 1 species